AAACGACUCUCGGCAACGGAUAUCUCGGCUCACGCAUAGAUGAAGAACGUAGCAAAAUGCGAUACUUGGUGUGAAUUGCAGAAUCCCGUGAACCAUCGAGUUUUUGAACGCAAGUUGCGCCCGAAGCCAUCUGGUUGAGGGCACGCCUGCCUGGGCGUCACG
rnacentral:rRNA from 1 species